CGCGUGGGUAACCUACCUCCGGAUUGGGGAUAACAUUGCGAAAGCGAUGCUAAUACCGAAUAAUAUCUUUUGCACCUCGGUGUUUAAGAUCAAAGAUGGCCUCUCCUUGGAAGCUAUCGUUUGGAGACGGGCCCGCGUACCAUUAGCUAGUUGGUAGGGUAACGGCCUACCAAGGCUACGAUGGUUAGCUGGUCUGAGAGGAUGAUCAGCCACACUGGAACUGACACACGGUCCAG
rnacentral:rRNA from 1 species